UGGGGAAUAUUGCACAAUGGGCGCAAGCCUGAUGCAGCCAUGCCGCGUGUGUGAAGAAGGCCUUCGGGUUGUAAAGCACUUUCAGCGAGGAGGAAGGUGGUGAGCUUAAUACGCUCAUCAAUUGACGUUACUCGCAGAAGAAGCACCGGCUAACUCCGUGCCAGCAGCCGCGGUAAUACGGAGGGUGCAAGCGUUAAUCGGAAUUACUGGGCGUAAAGCGCACGCAGGCGGUUUGUUAAGUCAGAUGUGAAAUCCCCGGGGCUCAACCUGGGAACUGCAUUUGAAACUGGCAAGCUAGAGUCUCGUAGAGGGGGGUAGAAUUCCAGGUGUAGCGGUGAAAUGCGUAGAGAUCUGGAGGAAUACCGGUGGCGAAGGCGGCCCCCUGGACGAAGACUGACGCUCAGGUGCGAAAGCGUGGGGCAGCAAACAGGAUUAGAUACCCUGGUAGUCCACGCUGUAAACGAUGUCGAUUUUGGAGGUUGUGCCCUUGAGGCGUGGCUUCCGGAGCUAACGCGUUAAAG
rnacentral:rRNA from 1 species